rnacentral:rRNA from 1 species
CGACCGGCGCACGGGUGAGUAACGCGUAUCCAACCUGCCCACCACUUGGGGAUAACCUUGCGAAAGUAAGACUAAUACCCAAUGAUAUCUCUAGAAGACAUCUGAAAGAGAUUAAAGAUUCAUCGGUGAUGGGUGGGGAUGCGUCUGAUUAGCUUGUUGGCGGGGUAACGGCCCACCAAGGCAACGAUCAGUAGGGGUUCUGAGAGGAAGGUCCCCCACAUUGGAACUGAGACACGGUCCAA